CUGCAGCAGAAGUUGUGCCCAGCUGCAGUGAUGCACCUCCUCCACCAACAUAAAAAAGUAAGACACCGGAUGUUGAGGCCUGGAAGGGGUUGAGGGAGCUACUCCACAUGCCUGCAGUGGAGCUGGAAUGUCCUCCACCGAAAGCCAUCUGCAGUGUGUGUAGAGAUUUGGAGGAGGCUGAGCUAUGGCACUGUGGGGAUUGCGGCUCAGAUAAAUAUUUCUGUGCCACCUGUGCUGUGAGAACACACAGCGCUCCCAACAUCGUCCACCAUUUGGUGAUAUGGAAGAGAACACUUCAAAAUGAGAAGAUCCUGCCAUGGAAAAGACGACUGGGCGGACAUAAAGUGGAAAGGAGGGGAAAUAUCUCCCAGCAUGCAGCAGGACACCUUCAGCUGCUUGGUCUUUGUAAUGCAGAUGGCCAAGGAAGUUGCAUAGAACUUCCCCAACAUCCCUUCUCAAAUUCAUAUGGAACCUUCAAAAACAUAUGGAGCAACUGCAAAAAGAAAUGGCUGAGGAUAUACUAAAAAUGUCUGAGUUCAACAAAGCCAACAACUGCCUCAUGGGUGCCACUGAUAAAGAACCUGGAUGUGGCCCAAAGACUGACUGGGUUAGUAACUUUAUUUAACAUGUUUAUAAUCUUUUGACAACAGUGACGGCAUGUAAGACAAUUUAUGAUAUAACACAAUGGACAGCUAAUUUGUCAUUCGUCAUGCUGCAAUGAUAUUUGAUAUUAUUUAUAACCUGUUACUCUUUGUUUUCCUUCGAUUGAAUGUUUUGCAUGCCAACGGUGGUUCCAUGUGCUGUGCCUAGGAAUGAAGACAAAAGAGUUCAACAGAGUAAACAACACAAACUGUCAGUGCAGUCUUUGUUGUAAAUGUAUGCUAUACCCCAUCCACACUGAAGAGGCUCUGACAUGUACAUCAACCAGGGAUAAAGAGAAAGUUAACACUGUGAAAUGCUCCAUACUUAAUUAAAGUUGUGUCUGUUGACAUGUUGGAAAAGAUUAAAGAUCUACAAUUUUUGUUUAAUUUGUCAAUAUUCCAUUUUUAUUCAUUGAUUUACUGGCGUUACAUGUUCAGUAUAUGUAUUGACCAGCAAACCCACUGCAGCCUACCUCACUAGCUCACUCUCUGCUGUUGGUGGACAUAAAAGACAACUAUAGGCGAAUAUCCAACCUGAAACUGGUUUUUACCUCGGUCAGGAACCGUUGGUCAGCCUGCAAUAGUGAUUUUGGAUUUGUAAAAAAUACAUGUAGAGGCCAAUAAAUCAUCUGAACCAAUUAUGCUAAUCUGUUAUGUUAACUAUCCAAGCGUUGUAGUACACCCAGAAAUUAAGAGGCAAUUAAAUCCAGCUGUAAUGCGCCCGCGGGCUAGCAAUGUCAGUCAAGCCAGCUGAACACGAGUUGCCGGAGCUCGUUCAGAGGUAACUUAACAUUUAAAACUAGGUUAAUUGUUUUAAUUCAUUUAUGAGCUGCAAAUGCAAUGCUAAUUUAUUUCUUAAUUGCCAUUUUGCGUCCUCGGUCAACGAAGGUCCUCUUGUCGGCCAUGCUGCAAAUGUGAUCUCGCGUUAUGUCAUUGUCAAUACAGUAAAUCUACACCACGAUAUGAAAUGUUGAUUUGAUGAUAGUUCUCGAUUAUACCGACUGAUUGCUAUUGCAUGGUGUGCUCUGACAAGUCUGGGUGUGGUGCUAGUUUCAGUAUACUUGGGUGUAAGAGGGCGUUGUGCCAACCAAAGUAAUACACUACUAGUACUACAACCACAAUAUUUGCUACUAGGCUAAUUGCUGUCAAACUAAUGUACCAUUUCAAUUCAGUCAAUUCUGGAUGUGAACUGAUAUUCCUAUUUAAUAAUCCAUAAACAAAGAAUUAUGGCAUUUAGGAUUUGUUUAAAAUGUCCCCAUCUCAUACCUUCCCUUGUUUACUGCCUACAUACACCUCCCAUUCCACUGUCAUCCAUAAGCAUGACAGUGACAGUAAAUUACUGCAAUAGAAAAAGUUUGUUUACAGGACAUUUCAGAUCUGAAAUAAUGUCAUCACAUGACUCAUUUACAUAGGUUUAAUGCGUUAAACUUUCCUCGAGUAUGCUAUAUUACAGCGUAUUCCAAAUGAAUGUGUCUUACAGUAACCAUACAGUGGUUCACACAUACUGUAUAAGGACAUAUUUAACCUGUGAAGGGUUAGUAAGCACAAAGUACAUAGCACAGAUGGACACAAAAGACCACCUAACAUCAAUACAACGCCAAUAACCUUGGAACCCAAAACCAAUGUAUGUCACAAGAUUAUAUCGCCUAUUGCUCACUUCAAGUAUAAUAUAUCGCCCAUCUCAGUAGCCAGGGUACAACAAACUGUUUUCAAAUAUCAGAGUUAAAAAUGUUUGAACACAAAGGUAGAAAAAUAUGGCAAAUAU
rnacentral:lncRNA from 13 species